GCAUCUCCUCCAACUCGAGAAGAGGAGGCCUUCUUCGCAUUCCGGUCAUUUUUAAGCCAAAGCAGAGAUUUCCUCCAUGAGCGAUGACCUUUCUAAGCGGUGUAAAAGAAAGCAUUUUCGCCCAAAUGUCGAUCUUGAGCGGAGGAAGAGUAGUGUGCGUGUUGAGAUCCAGGAUGUUCCCUAGCCCAAUCCAAGGGAUUUUUUUAGGUCAUCUCGUGGAUCAUAUUUCUGACGUUCGCCACACAACCGUGAUGCUUGAGUCUUUUACAGUCUGGUUUUUGCCCUUUUCUGGUUCAUACAAGUGCUUUUUCAAGCACAGUGGAGGAGAAGGCUAAAUGGCUCUUUGAGAAGCUGAAAGGUUGUUGCUCAUCUUCUGAAACCACGUGGUUGGAAACCCCCUGUACGUAGGCAAUUCUUCUUAGAUUGUAAUGAGAUCUCUGAGCUUUGUGAUAGUGCUGAAAGAAUAUUCACUAGUGAGCCAACUGUUCUACAAAUUAAAGCUCCUGUCAAAAUCUUUGGUGAUUUACCUGGUCAGUUUGGGGAUCUCAUGCGCUUGUUUGAUGAGUUUGGUGCUCCUUCAACGACAAGGGACAUUUCGUAAGCACUUUCAACUUUCACUAAUAUUAUCAAGCAUGACUAGAUUUCUACCAUGUUUCCUCCAUGAUUUCCACCAGGUUUUCUUCAUGUUUCAGUUAGCACAGAAUUCUUAUCUAUAUCCUUCCC